rnacentral:rRNA from 1 species
UACGUAGGGGGCAAGCGUUGUCCGGAAUUAUUGGGCGUAAAGCGCACGUAGGCGGCAUUGCAAGUCGGAUGUGAAAUCCCUCGGCUCAACCAAGGAAGUGCAUCCGAAACUGCAGUGCUUGAGUACUUAAGAGGAUCGCGGAAUUCCCGGUGUAGAGGUGAAAUUCGUAGAUAUCGGGAGGAACACCAGUGGCGAAGGCGGCGAUCUGGGAAGAUACUGACGCUGAGGUGCGAAAGCGUGGGGAGCAAACAGG